GUUUGGAUAGGAAGGGCCUCUACCCAUUAAGAGUAUGUGGAAACAAUGACCAAUAGGUAUUUAUGGCCUCGACUGGAUUUUAUCUCAGUGAAGUCUGCCUCUAAAUCUUCCAGUGGACAGGAGCCAGUGUACUGAGUUUCAGCUGGUGGUUGUGGCCAUUGGAGUGGGUUGUUUUGGCACAGGUUUGGCUGUGCUGGCUGACCAUGGCACAGAUGCUAGACACUUGUGGGAUGUAGUAGAAUCUGCUCAGGAAGGUCUCCACAGCUGUCUUUCUGGAGUGGGUGACCUGAUAAUGUGCCUGAACAAAAGUAGCCCUUCAGUACUGCGUAGAGGACUUUGGCCUUUUGUGCAAAUCCUGGAAUCCAGAUUCUGCAGAAGCCUCCUGCCCCCAAGAAUUCUCAACGGAGCAUAUUACCUUUUUCCACUCUGGUCCUAGAGUUCGGUGUCCCUUGGUGAUGUCAAAGUCCUUUGGUGGUGUCAAAGUACUGCACCUGCAGUCUUCUUUGGAGUUGUUGGCCAGGAGGAGGUCAUCAACAUAUUGCAGGAGGGUACACUUGAGAUCAGCCCAAGGGGAGACUGUAAGGUCUGAGGCCAGGGCUUCUCCGAAGAGGGUGGGUGAGUUUUUGAAGCCCUGAGGCAGUCUAGUCCAUGUCAGCUGAGUUUUUCUUCUAUCACUGGGAUCUUCCCAUUCAAAACCAAAGAUUGACUGGCUCACAGGGGCUAGCUGGAAAUAGAAGAAGGCAUCUUUAAGAUCCGGGCAAGCCGGGCAUGGUAGAGGCAGAGGCAAGAGGAUCACCUCGAGUUCGAGGCCAGCCUGGGCUACAUAGUGAGUUCAGAGCCAGCGUGGACUACAAAGCAAGACCCUGUCUCAAAAAAAAGAUCAAG
rnacentral:lncRNA from 1 species